rnacentral:rRNA from 1 species
GAUGAACGCUGGCGGUCUGCUUAGCACAUGCAAGUCGAACGGAAUCCUUCGGGAUUUAGUGGCGGACGGGUGAGUAACGCGUGAGAAUCUGCCUUCAGGUUCGGGACAACAGCUGGAAACGGCUGCUAAUACCGGAUGUGCCGAGAGGUGAAAGCUUUAGUGCCUGAAGAUGAGCUCGCGUCUGAUUAGCUAGUAGGAGUGGUAAUGGCACCCCUAGGCGACGAUCAGUAGCUGGUCUGAGAGGAUGAUCAGCCACACUGGGACUGAGACACGGCCCAGACUCCUACGGGAGGCAGCAGUGGGGAAUUGUCCGCAAUGGGCGCAAGCCUGACGGAGCAAGACUGCGUGAGGGAAGAAGGUCUGUGGAUUGUAAACCUCUUUUGAUGGGGAGGAAGACAGUGACGGUACCCAUCGAAUCAGCCUCGGCUAACUCCGUGCCAGCAGCCGCCGUAA